AAAAAUAUGGCCAAGAAUUAUUAAUGUGGGCGGGAGUUAUUUGGCAAAGGAAAAUUGUCUUUGGAAAAUUUCGCCACAGGGCGGCGCCAAAAAACGACGAUAUUGUCUAUCUCCUAUUUGGCCAAUGUUCUGAAAACGCGUUUUGGGCUAUAACUCCCACACCGAAGCUCCCACAGUCAAAACCUUUCUAUCCACAUGUUCAGGGUAGCGUUUUGAACACAUGCUUCGCGUUGUGCCGGCGAAACGCACAUUUCUUGUCGCGUUGUGCCGGCGAAAUGCACACUUCUUGGACCCCUGCAUAACUGCUUGCAGUUCUAGUUAGGGUUAUUAUUAUUCCAGCACUCCUCCCUAGAAGUGAUACUACAGCCCAAACCGUAAAUGGUGCACACACGCCAAUUGCAUGACUAGAUCCAGGUACGUGAGGUGACCGCAGACGACCAAACCUAGACCUGCCGGCCACUAGGUGGCGCUAUACCAAGGAGAAACACGUUUGGGGCUAUAACUCCCACACCGAACCUCCCACAGUCAAAAACUUCUACGCACAUAUGCACUGGAGUCUGCUGCAUCUUUUGGCAUAGGCCACGCCCAUUUGCGUCUAUAAUUUUUUUUCGCAAAAUCGCAAAAACCGCAAAACAGUUUUUUCCCUACUCCUCCCACAUUUCUUGACCAAUCGACACCAAACUUUGCACACGGCAUCUUCAGACGC
ensembl:lncRNA